UGUAGUCAUAUGCUUGUCUCAAAGACUAAGCCAUGCAUGUCUAAGUAUAAACACCUUUAUACUGCGAAACUGCGAACGGCUCAUUAUAUCAGUUAUAAUCUACUUGAUCGUAUCCUCUUACUUGGAUAACCGUAGUAAUUCUAGAGCUAAUACAUGCAAAAGUUCCCGACUGGUGACGGAAGGGAAGUAUUUAUUAGGUCCAAAAUCAAUGCUGGCCAUUCCAAACUGGGGCAACCUGGGGUCAGGAAAAGUUGAUGAUUCAUAAUAACUAAACGAAGCGCAGGGCUUGUCUCGGCGCUGAUACAAACGAGUUUCUGCCCUAUCAACUUUCGAUGGUAGUAUAGGGGACUACCAUGGUCGUAACGGGUAACGGGGA
rnacentral:rRNA from 1 species